CUAUCAAGCAAGCUGCUAGUAUGAUGGGCAAGACUCGCUCCUCGUAUAAUUGCACGUAGUCAUGAUGCUCUAGGGGCUCUUCCAAUUUGAAAGCUGGAGUUUCACCAAUUGAAAGGAUCGACGGUUGGGCAAUUUCUUCAAGAACGUUGAUGGUUUUCUCUAGUCCUUGGCUUGGUUCACUUGCUAGAAGAAACUCGAGCUC
rnacentral:lncRNA from 1 species